rnacentral:rRNA from 1 species
AGUGAACGCUGGCGGUAGGCCUAACACAUGCAAGUCGAACGGCAGCACAGUAAGAGCUUGCUCUUACGGGUGGCGAGUGGCGGACGGGUGAGGAAUACAUCGGAAUCUACUUUUUCGUGGGGGAUAACGUAGGGAAACUUACGCUAAUACCGCAUACGACCUACGGGUGAAAGCAGGGGAUCUUCGGAUCUUUCGCGAUUGAAUGAGCCGAUGUCGGAUUAGCUAGUUGGCGGGGUAAAGGCCCACCAAGGCGACGAUCCGUAGCUGGUCUGAGAGGAUGAUCAGCCACACUGGAACUGAGACACGGUCCAGACUCCUACGGGAGGCAGCAGUGGGGAAUAUUGGACAAUGGGCGCAAGCCUGAUCCAGCCAUACCGCGUGGGUGAAGAAGGCCUUCGGGUUGUAAAGCCCUUUUGUUGGGAAAGAAAAGCAGCAGGUUAAUACCCCGCUGUUCUGACGGUACCCAAAGAAUAAGCACCGGCUAACUUCGUG